rnacentral:rRNA from 1 species
GUGGGGAAUAUUGGGCAAUGGGCGGAAGCCUGACCCAGCGACGCCGCGUGGGGGAAGAAGUCUUUCGGGAUGUAAACCCUUGUUGUACGGGACGAAGGAAGUGACGGUACCGUACGAGGAAGCCCCGGCAAACUACGUGCCAGCAGCCGCGGUAAUACGUAGGGGGCGAGCGUUGUCCGGAAUCACUGGGCGUAAAGCGCACGUAGGCGGGCUGUCAAGUCGGCCGUGAAAGGCAUGGGCUCAACCUGUGCAUGUCGGUCGAUACUGGCGGUCGGGAGUAUGGGAGAGGGAACUGGAAUUCCCGGUGUAGCGGUGAAAUGCGGAGAUAUCGGGAGGAACACCAGUGGCGAAGGCGGGUUCCUGGCCCAUGACUGACGCUGAGGUGCGAAAGCCGGGGGAGCGAACGGGAUUAGAUACCCUGGUAGUCC